UACGUAGAAGACUAGUGUUAUUCAUCUUUAGUAGGUUUAAAGGGUACCUAGACUGUAUAAUUAGUCUUAAACAGGAUACGGUUAUACUAGAGUUAUAUAUGAGGAGGGGAGUAUUUAUGGAGUAGAGUUGAAAUUCUUUGAUACCAUGAGGACUGAUAACGGCGAAAGCAACCUUUUAUCUAAUAACUGACGUGAGGGACGAAGGCUCGGGUAACGAACAGGAUUAGAAACCCCCAGAUAG
rnacentral:rRNA from 1 species